rnacentral:rRNA from 1 species
GACGAACGCUGGCGGCGUGCUUAACACAUGCAAGUCGAACGGAAAGGCCCUGCUUUUGUGGGGUGCUCGAGUGGCGAACGGGUGAGUAACACGUGAGUAACCUGCCCUUGACUUUGGGAUAACUUCAGGAAACUGGGGCUAAUACCGGAUAGGAGCUCCUGCUGCAUGGUGGGGGUUGGAAAGUUUCGGCGGUUGGGGAUGGACUCGCGGCUUAUCAGCUUGUUGGUGGGGUAGUGGCUUACCAAGGCUUUGACGGGUAGCCGGCCUGAGAGGGUGACCGGCCACAUUGGGACUGAGAUACGGCCCGGACGCCUGCGGGAGGCAGCAGUGGGGAAUGUUGCACAAUGGGCGGAAGCCUGAUGCAGCAACGCCGCGUGCGGGAUGACGGCCUUCGGGUUGUAAACCGCUUUCGCCUGUGACGAAGCGUGAGUGACGGUAAUGGGUAAAGAAGCACCGGCUAACUACGUG